UGGUUCUGGCAUCGAUGAAGAACGCAGCGAAAUGCGAUAAGUAGUGUGAAUUGCAGAAUUCAGUGAAUCAUCGAAUCUUUGAACGCACAUUGCGCCCCUUGGUAUUCCAUGGGGCAUGCCUGUUCGAGCGUCAUUUGUACCUUCAAGCUUUGCUUGGUGUUGGGCGUGUUGUCUACUUCCUCAGCGAUUAGACUCGCCUUAAAGUAAUUGGCAGCCAGUGUUUUUGGUAGUAAGCGCAGCACAUUUUGCGUCUUGGUCCCUAAACUGUGGCAUCCACAAAGCCUCUUUCUCACUUUUGACCUCGGAUCAGGUAGGGAUACCCGCUGA
rnacentral:misc_RNA from 1 species